UACAGAGGCCUCGAGCGUUAGGCGGAAUCACUGGGCUUAAAGCGUGUGUAGGCGGACUUCUAAGUACCUUGUGAAAUCCCACGGCUUACCCGUGGAGCGGCUGGGUAUACUGGGAGUCUUGAGCCACCUAGGGGCGAGUGGAACAAAUGGUGGAGCGGUGAAAUGCGUAGAUAUCAUUUGGAACGCCAAUGGUGAAAACAACUCGCUGGGGGUGUGCUGACGCUGAGACACGAAAGCCAGGGGAGCGAACGGG
rnacentral:rRNA from 1 species